CGGGCAAGCUCUGCCGCUGCCGCCGGAGGCUCCAGCUCCUGCGAGUGUACGUUGCACGGGAAGGGGGAGUGCGCCUUGAACGAGUCCGACGACGGGAGGGCCCAGCAGCUGUCGAUGCAGAAUGAGCGGGCCGUCCAUGACGUGCUGGCGAGCUGGGGCGGCCGAAGUGACGUGGCCACUUCGCUAUGGCAGGACGCCUACCACGCCAGUCUGUCUCGCCUCUGGUGAUGAAGUGCUCGGCUCCAGUAGCGUCAGACUGGUAAGAAGUCACCGUCAUCCUAGAAAUUUGCCUCUCAUCCCCUGAUGGUUUGUGCCAGUUCGACGAGUUUGAAGUCAAGUUCAUCGGCAGGGGCCUCCUUGUGGUCACGAGGUGUUUGUGGAAAUGCCACAAUGCUGCUGCACGUGUGUUGCAGUCAAAGAGGGGAGAGUGUACCAUACCAACCGGAUGCUCAGCUUCUACGCCCCCAGUGAGCCUCCCCCAUUUGCUGAUUCUAAAACUGCUCAAGUAUGGUUUGUGAUCCGAGUGGGUCGAUUGAUUUGAUGUUAAUUUGUUUGCUUCACUCUAAAAAGCACGGACACGGGGACGGAAGGACGGGGAUACGCAUACGGGGAUACGGGAUACGGCAUUUUCCAAAAACAGCCAUUCGGGGAUACGGUGAGUAUAUAUAAAAUAAAAUAAAAAUAUGACAUAUAAUAUAGAAUUAAGACAGAAAAUUAAAGAAAAAGAGUUGAGAAUAGAGAAUAUUGCUCCAUUUGGUGGCUCUUUUAUCAAGUGCUUGAUUGAUCCUCGUCCCCCAUGUCAUUGCAAGUUGCAUCUUGCAGAACACAUCAAACAGCAAAGAAGAUUAGAAAAAUAGAAGACAUAACCAGAAGACAAUAUGAACACAUCAAAAGAGUAAAGACUUUUGCUUUGCUCACCCAAUUUGCAAUGCCAUUUGGCUCCCAAUUGCAGCACCAGGACCCAGACGCCCUUCACUCUCACCCACGGAUGAUUGGCUACCGGCUGUGCCGCUCGCAGAUGCCAUGGUUUGGUACCUAUCAGGCCAACAACAAGCAAUCAAUUCCUAUCAAGAACAGCAGCAGCCAUCAGCACAAGCAAAGAGCAGAAAGCAGCAAGCAUCAGAUCCAAUAACUUAGUGCAAGCAAACAGCAGUAGAGCACCAAGCAGCAAGCAGCAAGCAUUUGAAGAUUAAAAGUGGAGGAGUUGAAGAAGAAUGAGGAGAGGAUGCAGCUGGGUUACCUGCGGCUCCGAGGAGAGGCUGCUGCUGCUGGUGGUGCUGGAGGGGACGGUCGCCGGUCGAAUCCCGGCGCGGCGGCGGCGGUGGCGGCGAGUCCAGGCGGUGGGGGCGAGUCCAGGAGGUGGCGGCGCCGUCUGUGCAACAUGGGAGGCAGGGAGGGAGCGCCUCUUCAUUAUGUCGUGACCCUGCAAAAUAGGGUUUCUUGAUGGGCCGAGGCUGUAUUUUUGGGCCAGGCCGUAUCCCUAACGUGUCCCCGCGUAUCCCAGCGUAUCCCAAUCGUUUUUUCAUUUUUUUUAAUUCGAAUUUCGGGGAUACUCCAAAAUUCGCGUAUCCCGGCGUAUCCCGCCGUAUCCCCGUAUCCCGGCGUAUCAGGACGGCAGUUUGGCGAUUCCUGGCGUGUCCGUGCUUUUUAGGCUUCACUCUGUUUAUUUAUGGCUGCUACUUGUUCUGAGUCGUGCAUCUACACUUGGUGUGACUGUUGUGUACAUGAUUCCAAGCAUGCUGUAGUUUAGCAUGGAUUGAUAUCUCGUAUUGGAGAGUUCAAGGGCACAUAGGCAGUGUGCUUGUAUAUCUAAUCUGACGAGUUGAUUUCACCUAUAGUGCUUCUACUUGAAAUGUGAUGAUCCACAUGCUAAAUAUUUGCUCUUUAUGGAAUUCUUGGAUUUUGCCCUGUUUCUGGUUAAGAUAAUAUGAUAAAUGCAGCCUUUUCAGAUCACCGAAGACUUCUCGACAAGUUGGUGUUGUAUGGCCUGGUUGAGCUCAAGGUUAACGGAGACAACAAUUGUCAGUUUCGGGCAUUGUCUGAUCCAUUUUACCGAACUCCUGAACACCAUAGAUUUGUGUGGCAACAGGUGGUCAAUCAGCACAGCCGUAUGUACAAGAAGCAGAGCGCAUCAGUUCAUGCUCGAGCCCCGAAGAAGGUAGCAACGUUUGGGUUUUCCUCAAGGAUGCCAGACACUAUUUAAAGGUUCUAGUGGCGAUGCCGACGGUCGUCGAGAGGUUCGUGGACUGGACGGUGUCGUGUCUGCCGAUGUACGGAGAGGCGAAGCUACUGCUCAUCAUCUACCUCUGGUAGCCCAGCACACGGGGUGCGGGGCACAUGUACGAUGGCUUCCUCCAUCCGCUGGUGUCGUGGCACGAGGCUGACAUCGACCGGGGCCUACUUGAGCUGAGGGCUAGUGCGAGGGACGUGACGGCGUCACAACUCAAGGCGGCGGCUGCCAUCGGUCAAGUGUGGCUCGUCAAGGCUGCCCGCUAUGUUUCGUCGCAGCUGCAGGCCGCGAGAUCAGGCCGGGAAGGCGCCACACAUUGAGGAGUGAGCCAAUUUUUGGAUCGGACCAUAACAACGUGUCUCAGUCUCUGACGUCUAGAAGUAGUGGUAAAUUUUUGAAUUUGCAUGGCAAGGACCACUUACGUAGGUAGCUGACACGCACAAUACUAUGUUUACACUCUUACUUAUGUAAAAGAUAUGAAUUAUACAUGAGUUGCCUCUACAAUGAGGAACUGUGAUAGUAGAUACGACAAUUGUGUGAUAGAA